rnacentral:rRNA from 1 species
UUAAGCGACUAAGCGUACACGGUGGAUGCCCUGGCAGUCAGAGGCGAUGAAGGACGUGCUAAUCUGCGAAAAGCGUCGGUAAGGUGAUAUGAACCGUUAUAACCGGCGAUGUCCGAAUGGGGAAACCCAGUGCAAUUCGUUGCACUAUCGUUAACUGAAUACAUAGGUUAACGAGGCGAACCGGGGGAACUGAAACAUCUAAGUACCCCGAGGAAAAGAAAUCAACCGAGAUUCCCCCAGUAGCGGCGAGCGAACGGGGAGCAGCCCAGAGUCUGAAUCAGCUUGUGUGUUAGUGGAACGGUCUGGAAAGUCCGACGGUACAGGGUGAUAGUCCCGUACACCAAAAUGCACAGGCUGUGAACUCGAAGAGUAGGGCGGGACACGUGGUAUCCUGUCUGAAUAUGGGGGGACCAUCCUCCAAGGCUAAAUACUCCUGACUGACCGAUAGUGAACCAGUACCGUGAGGGAAAGGCGAAAAGAACCCCGGCGAGGGGAGUGAAAAAGAACCUGAAACCGUGUACGUACAAGCAGUGGGAGCACCUUCGGGUGUGACUGCGUACCUUUUGUAUAAUGGGUCAGCGACUUAUAUUCUGUAGCAAGGUUAACCGUAUAGGGGAGCCGCAGGGAAACCGAGUCUUAACUGGGCGUUAAGUUGCAGGGUAUAGACCCGAAACCCGGUGAUCUAGCCAUGGGCAGGUUGAAGGUUGGGUAACACUAACUGGAGGACCGAACCGACUAAUGUUGAAAAAUUAGCGGAUGACUUGUGGCUGGGGGUGAAAGGCCAAUCAAACCGGGAGAUAGCUGGUUCUCCCCGAAAGCUAUUUAGGUAGCGCCUCGUGAAUUCAUCUUCGGGGGUAGAGCACUGUUUCGGCUAGGGGGUCAUCCCGACUUACCAACCCGAUGCAAACUACGAAUACCGAAGAAUGUUAUCACGGGAGACACACGGCGGGUGCUAACGUCCGUCGUGAAGAGGGAAACAACCCAGACCGCCAGCUAAGGUCCCAAAGUCAUGGUUAAGUGGGAAACGAUGUGGGAAGGCACAGACAGCCAGGAUGUUGGCUUAGAAGCAGCCAUCAUUUAAAGAAAGCGUAAUAGCUCACUGGUCGAGUCGGCCUGCGCGGAAGAUGUAACGGGGCUAAACCAUGCACCGAAGCUGCGGCAGCGACACUAUGUGUUGUUGGGUAGGGGAGCGUUCUGUAAGCCUGCGAAGGUGACCUGUGAGGGUUGCUGGAGGUAUCAGAAGUGCGAAUGCUGACAUAAGUAACGAUAAAGCGGGUGAAAAGCCCGCUCGCCGGAAGACCAAGGGUUCCUGUCCAACGUUAAUCGGGGCAGGGUGAGUCGACCCCUAAGGCGAGGCCGAAAGGCGUAGUCGAUGGGAAACAGGUUAAUAUUCCUGUACUUGGUGUUACUGCGAAGGGGGGACGGAGAAGGCUAUGUUAGCCGGGCGACGGUUGUCCCGGUUUAAGCAUGUAGGCUGAUUGUCCAGGCAAAUCCGGAUAAUCAAGGCUGAGGUGUGAUGACGAGGCACUACGGUGCUGAAGUAACAAAUGCCCUGCUUCCAGGAAAAGCCUCUAAGCAUCAGGUAACAUUAAAUCGUACCCCAAACCGACACAGGUGGUCAGGUAGAGAAUACCAAGGCGCUUGAGAGAACUCGGGUGAAGGAACUAGGCAAAAUGGUGCCGUAACUUCGGGAGAAGGCACGCUGGUGUGUAGGUGAAGUCCCUGCGGAUGGAGCUGAGACCAGUCGAAGAUACCAGCUGGCUGCAACUGUUUAUUAAAAACACAGCACUGUGCAAACACGAAAGUGGACGUAUACGGUGUGACGCCUGCCCGGUGCCGGAAGGUUAAUUGAUGGGGUUAUCCGUAAGGAGAAGCUCUUGAUCGAAGCCCCGGUAAACGGCGGCCGUAACUAUAACGGUCCUAAGGUAGCGAAAUUCCUUGUCGGGUAAGUUCCGACCUGCACGAAUGGCGUAAUGAUGGCCAGGCUGUCUCCACCCGAGACUCAGUGAAAUUGAACUCGCUGUGAAGAUGCAGUGUACCCGCGGCAAGACGGAAAGACCCCGUGAACCUUUACUAUAGCUUGACACUGAACAUUGAGCCUUGAUGUGUAGGAUAGGUGGGAGGCUUUGAAGCGUGGACGCCAGUCUGCGUGGAGCCAACCUUGAAAUACCACCCUUUAAUGUUUGAUGUUCUAACGUUGGCCCCUUACCGGGGUUGCGGACAGUGUCUGGUGGGUAGUUUGACUGGGGCGGUCUCCUCCCAAAGCGUAACGGAGGAGCACGAAGGUUAGCUAAUCCUGGUCGGACAUCAGGAGGUUAGUGCAAUGGCAUAAGCUAGCUUGACUGCGAGCGUGACGGCGCGAGCAGGUGCGAAAGCAGGUCAUAGUGAUCCGGUGGUUCUGAAUGGAAGGGCCAUCGCUCAACGGAUAAAAGGUACUCCGGGGAUAACAGGCUGAUACCGCCCAAGAGUUCAUAUCGACGGCGGUGUUUGGCACCUCGAUGUCGGCUCAUCACAUCCUGGGGCUGAAGUAGGUCCCAAGGGUAUGGCUGUUCGCCAUUUAAAGUGGUACGCGAGCUGGGUUUAGAACGUCGUGAGACAGUUCGGUCCCUAUCUGCCGUGGGCGCUGGAGAAUUGAGGGGGGCUGCUCCUAGUACGAGAGGACCGGAGUGGACGCAUCACUGGUGUUCGGGUUGUCAUGCCAAUGGCACUGCCCGGUAGCUAAAUGCGGAAGAGAUAAGUGCUGAAAGCAUCUAAGCACGAAACUUGCCCCGAGAUGAGUUCUCCCUGAGACUAUAAGUCUCCUGAAGGAACGUUAAAGACGAUGACGUUGAUAGGCCGGGUGUGUAAGCGCAGCGAUGCGUUGAGCUAACCGGUACUAAUGAACCGUGAGGCUUAACCUU